rnacentral:lncRNA from 1 species
CCGUAGGUUUCUUUUGGGCUGAAACAGGGGACCUUGAGGUCCCCUCAUUAGCUGGCCGGCCAGUGGUGCAGCCGGCGUGGGGAUGGUCAGUGGCCGAAGGAGAGGUGAUCCGGCGGCAAGAGGAGAUCAAACCGAUGGUCGGCGGUGACCACCGGCGACGGAAAAAUGACAAAAAGGAAGAUUCUUCCACAACAAAAUCCGGCGACUUCGAUCGCCGGCGAGCGUGCACAUCGGCACGAGAAGGAAGGG